rnacentral:rRNA from 1 species
GACGAACGCUGGCGGCGUGCUUAACACAUGCAAGUCGAACGGAAAGGCCCUGCUUUUGUGGGGUGCUCGAGUGGCGAACGGGUGAGUAACACGUGAGUAACCUGCCCUUGACUUUGGGAUAACUUCAGGAAACUGGGGCUAAUACCGGAUAGGAGCUCCUGCUGCAUGGUGGGGGUUGGAAAGUUUCGGCGGUUGGGGAUGGACUCGCGGCUUAUCAGCUUGUUGGUGGGGUAGUGGCUUACCAAGGCUUUGACGGGUAGCCGGCCUGAGAGGGUGACCGGCCACAUUGGGACUGAGAUACGGCCCAGACUCCUACGGGAGGCAGCAGUGGGGAAUAUUGCACAAUGGGCGGAAGCCUGAUGCAGCAACGCCGCGUGCGGGAUGACGGCCUUCGGGUUGUAAACCGCUUUCGCCUGUGACGAAGCGUGAGUGACGGUAAUGGGUAAAGAAGCACCGGCUAACUACGUGCCAGCAGCCGCGGUGAUACGUAGGGUGCGAGCGUUGUCCGGAUUUAUUGGGCGUAAAGGGCUCGUAGGUGGUUGAUCGCGUCGGAAGUGUAAUCUUGGGGCUUAACCCUGAGCGUGCUUUCGAUACGGGUUGACUUGAGGAAGGUAGGGGAGAAUGGAAUUCCUGGUGGAGCGGUGGAAUGCGCAGAUAUCAGGAGGAACACCAGUGGCGAAGGCGGUUCUCUGGGCCUUUCCUGACGCUGAGGAGCGAAAGCGUGGGGAGCGAACAGGCUUAGAUACCCUGGUAGUCCACGCUGUAAACGGUGGGUACUAGGUGUGGGGUCCAUUCCACGGGUUCCGUGCCGUAGCUAACGCUUUAAGUACCCCGCCUGGGGAGUACGGCCGCAAGGCUAAAACUCAAAGGAAUUGACGGGCCCCGCACAAGCGGCGGAGCAUGCGGAUUAAUUCGAUGCAACGCGUAGAACCUUACCUGGGUUUGACAUGGAUCGGGAGCGCUCAGAGAUGGGUGUGCCUCUUUUGGGGUCGGUUCACAGGUGGUGCAUGGCUGUCGUCAGCUCGUGUCGUGAGAUGUUGGGUUAAGUCCCGCAACGAGCGCAACCCUUGUUCACUGUUGCCAGCACGUUAUGGUGGGGACUCAGUGGAGACCGCCGGGGUCAACUCGGAGGAAGGUGGGGAUGACGUCAAGUCAUCAUGCCCCUUAUGUCCAGGGCUUCACGCAUGCUACAAUGGCUGGUACAGAGAGUGGCGAGCCUGUGAGGGUGAGCGAAUCUCGGAAAGCCGGUCUCAGUUCGGAUUGGGGUCUGCAACUCGACCUCAUGAAGUCGGAGUCGCUAGUAAUCGCAGAUCAGCAACGCUGCGGUGAAUACGUUCCCGGGGCU